GGAAUAUUGGUCAAUGGAGGCAACUCUGAACCAGCCAUGCCGCGUGCAGGAAGACGGUCCUAUGGAUUGUAAACUGCUUUUAUACAGGAAUAAACCUAUCCUCGUGAGGAUAGCUGAAGGUACUGUAGGAAUAAGGAUCGGCUAACUCCGUGCCAGCAGCCGCGGUAAUACGGAGGAUCCAAGCGUUAUCCGGAAUCAUUGGGUUUAAAGGGUUCGUAGGCGGUUUAAUAAGUCAGUGGUGAAAUCUCCUAGCUUAACUAGGAAAUGGCCAUUGAUACUGUUAGACUUGAAUUAUUGGGAAGUAACUAGAAUAUGUAGUGUAGCGGUGAAAUGCUUAGAUAUUACAUGGAAUACCAAUUGCGAAGGCAGGUUACUAUCAAUACAUUGACGCUGAUGAACGAAAGCGUGGGUAGCGAACAGGAUUAGAUACCCCUG
rnacentral:rRNA from 1 species